UGGGGAAUAUUGCACAAUGGGCGCAAGCCUGAUGCAGCGACGCCGCGUGAGGGAUGAAGGCCUUCGGGUUGUAAACCUCUUUCAGCAGGGAAGAAGCGCAAGUGACGGUACCUGCAGAAGAAGCGCCGGCUAACUACGUGCCAGCAGCCGCGGUAAUACGUAGGGCGCAAGCGUUGUCCGGAAUUAUUGGGCGUAAAGAGCUCGUAGGCGGUUUGUCGCGUCUGCUGUGAAAACUCGAGGCUCAACCUCGGGCUUGCAGUGGGUACGGGCAGACUAGAGUGCGGUAGGGGAGACUGGAAUUCCUGGUGUAGAGGUGGAAUGCGCAGAUAUCAGGAGGAACACCGAUGGCGAAGGCAGGUCUCUGGGCCGCAACUGACGCUGAGGAGCGAAAGCAUGGGGAGCGAACAGGAUUAGAUACCCUGGUAGUCCAUGCCGUAAACGUUGGGCACUAGGUGUGGGGCUCAUUCCACGAGUUCCGUGCCGCAGCAAACGCAUUAAGUGCCCCGCCUGGGGAGUACGGCCGCAAGGCUAAAACUCAAAGAAAUUGACGGAGGCCCGCACAAGCGGCGGAGCAUGCGGAUUAAUUCGAUGCAACGCGAAGAACCUUACCAAGGCUUGACAUACACCGGAAGCUUCCAGAGAUGGUUGCCCCGCAAGGUCGGUGUACAGGUGGUGCAUGGUUGUCGUCAGCUCGUGUCGUGAGAUGUUGGGUUAAGUCCCGCAACGAGCGCAACCCUCGUCCUAUGUUGCCAGCGGGUCAUGCCGGGGACUCAUAGGAGACUGCCGGGGUCAACUCGGAGGAAGG
rnacentral:rRNA from 1 species